rnacentral:rRNA from 1 species
GACGAACGCUGGCGGCGUGCUUAACACAUGCAAGUCGAACGGUAAGGCCCUUCGGGGUACACGAGUGGCGAACGGGGGAGUAACACGUGGGUGAUCUGCCCUGCACUUCGGGAUAAGCCGGGGAAACUGGGUCUAAUACCGGAUAGGACCACUGCCUGCAUGGGUGGUGGUGGAAAGCCUUUGCGGUGUGGGAUGGGCCCGCGGCCUAUCAGCUUGUUGGUGGGGUGAUGGCCUACCAAGGCGACGACGGGUAGCCGGCCUGAGAGGGUGACCGGCCACACUGGGACUGAGAUACGGCCCAGACUCCUACGGGAGGCAGCAGUGGGGAAUAUUGCACAAUGGGCGCAAGCCUGAUGCAGCGACGCCGCGUGAGGGAUGACGGCCUUCGGGUUGUAAACCUCUUUCAGCACCGACGAAGCGCAAGUGACGGUAGGUGCAGAAGAAGGACCGGCCAACUACGUGCCAGCAGCCGCCGUAA